GUCUACAGCGAUACCCCCCUGAACGUGCCUGAUCUUGUCUGAUCUUGUGAAGCUAAGCAGGGUUGGGCCUGGUUAGUACUUGGAUGGGAGAUUGCUUGGGAAUACCAGAUGCUGUAGGCU
rnacentral:rRNA from 1 species